AAUAUUUAAAUUAAUUUAUUUAAUUAUUUAUUAAUAUCUAAUAAAAUUUAAUUUAAUUUUUGUAUAACCGCAACUGCUGGCACAAAAUUUGUUAUUAAUUUAUAUAUUACUAAAUCUUAAUUUCUUAAAUUUUUAAUAUUAAUUACUAUUUUCAUAAAUUAAAUAUUAUUAAAAUAAUUAAAAUU
rnacentral:rRNA from 1 species